AUUGAACGCUGGCGGCAGGCCUAACACAUGCAAGUCGAACGGUAACAGGAAGCAGCUUGCUGCUUCGCUGACGAGUGGCGGACGGGUGAGUAAUGUCUGGGAAACUGCCUGAUGGAGGGGGAUAACUACUGGAAACGGUAGCUAAUACCGCAUAACGUCGCAAGACCAAAGAGGGGGACCUUAGGGCCUCUUGCCAUCGGAUGUGCCCAGAUGGGAUUAGCUAGUAGGUGGGGUAACGGCUCACCUAGGCGACGAUCCCUAGAUGGUCUGAGAGGAUGACCGGCCACACUGGAACUGAGACACGGUCAAGACUCCUACGGGAGGCAGCAGAGGGGAAUAUUGCACAAUGGGCGCAAGCCUGAUGCAGCCAUGCCGCGUGUAUGAAGAAGGCCUUCGGGUUGUAAAGUACUUUCAGCGGGGAGGAAGGGAGUAAAGUUAAUACCUUUGCUCAUUGACGUUACCCGCAGAAGAAGCACCGGCUAACUCCGUG
rnacentral:rRNA from 1 species